rnacentral:rRNA from 1 species
GAUGAACGCUGGCGGCGUGCCUAAUACAUGCAAGUCGAGCGAACAGACGAGGAGCUUGCUCCUCUGACGUUAGCGGCGGACGGGUGAGUAACACGUGGAUAACCUACCUAUAAGACUGGGAUAACUUCGGGAAACCGGAGCUAAUACCGGAUAAUAUGUUGAAUCGCAUGGUUCAACAGUGAAAGACGGUCUUGCUGUCACUUAUAGAUGGAUCCGCGCCGCAUUAGCUAGUUGGUAAGGUAACGGCUUACCAAGGCAACGAUGCGUAGCCGACCUGAGAGGGUGAUCGGCCACACUGGAACUGAGACACGGUCCAGACUCCUACGGGAGGCAGCAGUAGGGAAUCUUCCGCAAUGGGCGAAAGCAUGACGGAGCAACGCCGCGUGAGUGAAGAAGGUCUUCGGAUCGUAAAACUCUGUUAUUAGGGAAGAACAAAUGUGUAAGUAACUAUGCACGUCUUGACGGUACCUAAUCAGAAAGCCACGGCUAACUACGUG